GAAUCCCGGGCAGGACAUUUAUCACCAAAAUGGCAUAAUGGUUACAGCACCAGCAAGACUCUUCAGAAAACAAGCUAUAAGAAGAAGCAAAAGAGCUGAAAGGACGCAGGACAGAUGCCAAGCUUCUUGCUGUUGGACUAGUGUCGAGCAGGAGCUGAGUGAGCAGGCAACAUAAACAUGCUCAGCAGCCUCAAUGGACAUAACGUUAGCAGAGACUAAUAGACAGAAGAGGACGUUAACAGAAAAAGAAGAAAAAAACUGAGUGACAAGCAAGAGGCUCUUAAGAGGACGUUAACAAGAGCUUUGUGAAAUAAAAGGCUGCAAGACAGACAUCGAGCUGGCAUUCUUUCUGUUGAACUAAAUAAUUUGGCUAUUUCUUGUGUUGUCACACUUGC